GCCUUUGUGGAUCAUGGUGAUCGCCUCGAUUUAAUAAGAGUUGUUGAAUGGUGUGAGAGGAGACGGAGGUUCGAAUCCUCCCGAAGGCA